rnacentral:rRNA from 1 species
CCUACGGGAGGCAGCAGUGAGGAAUAUUGGUCAAUGGGCGAAAGCCUGAACCAGCCAAGCCGCGUGAGGGAUGACGGCCCUCUGGAUUGUAAACUUCUUUUGUCGGGGAAUAAAAUACGGUACGUGUCCUCUCUUGCAUGUACCCCUUGAAUAAGGACCGGCUAACUCCGUGCCAGCAGCCGCGGUAAUCCGGAGGGUCCGGGCGUUAUCCGGAUUUAUUGGGUUUAAAGGGUGCGUAGGCGGCCGGUUAAGUCAGGCGGCAAAGGCCGGGGCUCAACCCUGGCACUGCGGUGGAAACUGGCAGGCUUGAGUGGGGGAGAGGUAGGCGGAAUUCGUGGUGUAGCGGUGAAAUGCGUAGAUAUCACGAAGAACUCCGAUUGCGAAGGCAGCAUACUGGAGCGAGACUGACGCUGAGGCUCGAAAGCGUGGGUAUCGAACAGGAUUAGAUACCCGGGUAGUC